rnacentral:lncRNA from 1 species
GCGUGUACUGGCCUCGAGUGGAUGAGGUUAAAGAUGAAAGAAAGAUGUCCAGGAAUCUAGAUUUUUGAGUUUCCACUAUUAUUAUCAGUUUAUCACACAGAAAAGCAAAGCGAAGGGAAAAUAAAUUAAUCAAAAUCUAAGCUCAAACAUAUGGGUCCAUUGGUAAUCAUUUGUGUUCAAAAUUGUAAAGCAAAGCAAUAUAUAGCAAAAAUGA